UCAGAAAAUAAAAGUUGAUAAACUCUUUACUUUUUGUUUUGUAUUAUAUUGUUUAUUUCUGUUCUCAGUUGGUUUUGGUUUCAGAAAGUAUAUAGUUUCGGUCUUUUAUGGUACCGAAACAAAAAUAUUUUUUAAGUAGUAAACGCAACUAAUUCUUGAAUUUAAAGCUUAUUGUAAUGCUUGACGUAAUCAUCCGUUUAAUUCGCUAAAGAAAGGAUCCAUAGUGUUUUUUUUUUUUUUUUGCUUUAAACCAAAUAGAUAUUAAAAAGUAGGAAUCUUUUUUUGUUGAAAUUUUUAUUUUUAAAAAUAUAUUUCACCAUUCAACAGCAUAAAAGUGCGACUCUGAAUCGAAUUGAGGAAAUUGACUUUGAGUUGGUCCAACAAAUGUUUUUGGUAAAGAACUUAUGAUUUUAGAAGACUUAUUUGAAAAAAUAUCUGUUUGUAAACAUUUAAAUGGAGUCAUUUUAUUGACAGUGCUUCCAGAAAAAUUUCUCUCAUUAUUUAUCUGCAUUGAGAUGUUGACAUUACAAACAGAAGCAUCUACACUUUCUAACGAUUUGUUGUUAACAGUUAGAUUUGUUGAUUGUGAUAAACAAAUUUUAUUUGGUUGAAAAGAUAUUUGCUGAUCCGUAUAA